rnacentral:lncRNA from 1 species
GGGAGUAGCCAUGGAAGAGGGGUCCAUCUGGCGUCCAUAAACUGAAGGCAGAUGGACUUAGAGGAUUGCAGCAGAGGGAGCCUGAAGAAGUUGAAAUAGGGAGGGUAUAGAGGCUUGGCAGUCACUGCAUGGCAUGGUUAAACUGGGUCUAUAUGGGGAGGCUUUGCUCAUUUUCCACUUUGUCUUUCUCCAGCUUUAUCAUAGUUAUCACCAUCCUGAUCUCUUCUGUCAGUGUGCUCCUUCUUAUCCUGCUCUGUGUUGGUAUCAUGUCUAUGAUGCUGAAGAAGUGGAGAAAUAAGAGGCUUCUCAAGAAACAGAAGAGAUGGAACAAUUUUCUCUUGAAGUCCAAGGCUGUAGAUUACCAACCCGAUGCAAUAUAUUCCAAUGUGAUCAACCUGGUUGCCCAGAAGGAAGAUGAUUUUGCCAUUUAUGCCAACAUACCACGUUUCCAGUGCCCCAGGAAAACCUCACCUGUUGUCACUUAUGCUCCUGACCAAAUGGAACAUCCUUCCGGUGUAUUCCUCUGAUGGAGGACCAGAAGACUAUUCUGGAAUGAGAGGAUGCAGAGAUGAGAGGUGGCGGACUGCAAAGAAGGUGGUGGAAGAGAGUUGCCAAGCUUAGCAUGAUGAGAUUUAUGUAUUUUUUUAAACUGACCACCAGCCCUCAUGUUUAUAGGGACAGAGAUGAGAGCAUGAAUUUUUUUAAAAGUGUCUUGGAAAUACAGGAAAUAUUUAAAUAUUUAAAUGUCCUUUAAAUAGGACAGACAGCUCAAGUCUAACAGAGUUAUCAGUAGUAUAUGACAGGACUGGGGAGAUGGGCACACCGCCACUCAUGCAGCCCCAAAAUGUCCAAGCAAAACAUCAUUUUGUAUCAAGUUGGAAGUAAAAAAUCAGAGACCAGACAGCUGAUGUGAUUGCCAUCCCACGGCAAGGGGUGAGGAGCUGGGACCUUUGGAAUCAGCAGAGUGUAGUGGGAAGAAUGCUAGAUUUAGAAUCAGUCUUCAAAUCCUCAGGCACUCCUCUGACUUCAGUCACUUCACCUCUCUGGGUCUCAGUUUCCUCAUCUGUAAAAUGAAGGCAUUGGACUAGAUCUGGGGUUCUUAACCUUUGUGUGUAUGUCACGGAUCACUUUGGUUAGUCUGGUAAAGCCAAUGGACCCCAUCUCAG